rnacentral:rRNA from 1 species
CCCUUAGAUGUUCUGGGCUGCACGCGCGCUACACUGAAGCUAUCAACACGUUUUCCCUCCCUGAGAAGGGCGGGUAACCUUUUGAAUCAGCUUCGUGGUAGGGAUCGGGGCUUGCAAUUGUUCCCCGUGAACCAGGAAUUCCUAGUAGACGUGAGUCAUAAGCUCGCAUCGAUUAAGUCCCUGCCCUUUGUACACACCGCCCGUCGCUACUACCGAUUGAACGUUUUAGUGAGGCAUUUGGACCGACGCAUCUCAGUUUAACCGCUGGUUUGUGUUGGAAAGACUUCCAAACUUGAGCGUUUAGAGGAAGUAAAAGUCGUAACA